GCAGGAUGCCUCCCAGGACCAAGCUGGCACCAGUGCCAACUUGGGCUGGUUUGAGAGUGCCAAGUACCUCCUGCAAACUGACACCAUCAACUAGGGUUGGAUGCCUCCCAGGACCAAGCUGGCACCAGUGCCAACUUGGGCUGGUUUGAGAGUGCCAAGUACCUCCUGCAAACUGACACCAUCAACUAGGGUUGGAUGCCUCCCAGGACCAAGCUGGCACCAGUGCCAACUUGGGCUGGUUUGAGAGUGCCAAGUACCUCCUGCAAACUGACACCAUCAACUAGGGUUGGAUGCCUCCCAGGAACAAGCUGGCACCAGUGCCAACUCGGGCUGGUUUGAGAGUUCCAAGUACCUCCUGCAAACUGACACCAUGAACUAGGGUUG